AAAAACAUCGCCUCUAGAAACACCUAUUAGAGGUCCAUCCUGCCCAGUGACGUACGCGUUAAACGGCCGCGGUACCCUGACCGUGCUAAGGUAGCAUAAUCACUUGCCUUUUAAUUGGAGGCUUGUAUGAAUGGACACACGAGAGUGUUGCUGUCUCAUUAACACCCAUAAAAAUUAUCCUACAGGUGAAGAGACCUGUAUACUGUAAAAAGACGAAAAGACCCUGUGGAGCUUUACUUAUACCUUCUUACACACACAGUCUAAAAAUAUUUUUGUAAGAGCAAUAGUUUAGUUGGGGCGACUAAGGAGCACAAUAAACCCUCCUUUUAGCUAUAGGACAUAUUCCACACUUUGAUCCACCUUUCGUGAACACAAAACCAGCUACCCCAGGGAUAACAGGCUAAUCCUCUUUGAGAGCCCAUAUCGACAAGAGGGGUUGGCACCUCGAUGUUGGCUUAAGGUCCCUUCAAAAUGCAGCAGUUUUGAUAGUGGGUUUGUUCAACCCUUAAAACCUUACGUGAUC
rnacentral:rRNA from 1 species